AGAUUAAGUUAUUAAGGGCGCACGGUGGAUGCCUUGGCACUAGAAGCCGAAGAAGGACGUUACUAACGAC
rnacentral:rRNA from 1 species